rnacentral:rRNA from 1 species
AUUGAACGCUGGCGGCAGGCCUAACACAUGCAAGUCGAGCGGAUGAAGGGAGCUUGCUCCUGGAGUCAGCGGCGGACGGGUGAGUAAUGCCUAGGAAUCUGCCUGGUAGUGGGGGAUAACGUCCGGAAACGGGCGCUAAUACCGCAUACGUCCUGAGGGAGAAAGUGGGGGAUCUUCGGACCUCACGCUAUCAGAUGAGCCUAGGUCGGAUUAGCUAGUUGGUGGGGUAAAGGCCUACCAAGGCGACGAUCCGUAACUGGUCUGAGAGGAUGAUCAGCCACACUGGAACUGAGACACGGUCCAGACUCCUACGGGAGGCAGCAGUGGGGAAUAUUGGACAAUGGGCGCAAGCCUGAUCCAGCCAUGCCGCGUGUGUGAAGAAGGUCUUCGGAUUGUAAAGCACUUUAAGUUGGGAGGAAGGGCAGUAAGUUAAUACCUUGCUGUUUUGACGGUACCAACAGAAUAAGCACCGGCUAACUUCGUG